CAAUGAAAGAAAGUUACCUCUGUGUCAUUCUGAUUUCUCCACAUCACUUCCUGUCCCUCCCUCUGAUCCACAAAACACAGCAGAGACUGGAGCUGGUUCUUCAUAUUCAACAUGACGCCACCUCGUCUCAUCACAUCCAUCAUCACUGUGUUCUGGAUUAAGGGUGUUUACCUCAGUAAAGAAAAAACAGUGUUUCAGACUCCAGCCGACCUGUUGAUGAAACCAAAUGGUGAAGUCAACAUGAGAUUAACACAUCAAAUCCCGAACUAUGACACGAUUCUCUGGUACCAGCGCUCAGCAGGAGACAGUUCCCUGAAGCUGAUCGGCUAUGUUUCUUAUGAUUCACCCAAUAUUGAGCCAAAUAUUCCGAGCCGCUUCAAUGUGAGUGGAAAUGGAGAGAAAACAGCUUUUCUUCAAAUCAAGAACCUGAAGCACCCUGAGGACAGUGGAGAAUAUUUUGGAGCAGCAACAAUACACAGUAAUAAAGACUGAGAGAGCCGUCGUUCAAAAACCUCCAUAAACGAU